AAAAAGGCAAAUCUUGUAUUUCCGUGUCCAACUUUAACUGUCCGUCUUAAUAAAAUUUUUUUAUAAUUUGUAUUUUCAUUUGUGUUAGAUGAUAAAACAUGAUUAAUAUUUUAUGCGUGACUUGUCUUUUUAAUUUUUUUCAUAUUUUUUUCAAAUAAGACGGACGGUCAAACGUUGGACACGAAAAUCAGGGUUUGUCUUUUU
rfam:Oryza sativa Japonica Group DNA, chromosome 5, cultivar: Nipponbare, complete sequence.